UGUGGGAGCGGGCUUGCUCGCGAUAGCGGUGUGUCAGUGCCAGAUUAACUGACUGAUAGACCGCUAUCGCGAGCAAGCCCGCUCCCACA
rnacentral:misc_RNA from 1 species